rnacentral:rRNA from 1 species
GAUGAACGCUGGCGGCGUGCCUAAUACAUGCAAGUCGAGCGAACAGACGAGGAGCUUGCUCCUCUGACGUUAGCGGCGGACGGGUGAGUAACACGUGGAUAACCUACCUAUAAGACUGGGAUAACUUCGGGAAACCGGAGCUAAUACCGGAUAAUAUAUUGAACCGCAUGGUUCAAUAGUGAAAGACGGUUUUGCUGUCACUUAUAGAUGGAUCCGCGCCGCAUUAGCUAGUUGGUAAGGUAACGGCUUACCAAGGCAACGAUGCGUAACCGACCUGAGAGGGUGUUAGGCCACACAGGAACUGAGACAGGGUCCAGACUCGUACGUGAGGGACCAGUAGGGAAUCUUCCGAAAUGGGCGCAAGCUUGCAGGAGCAACGCCGCGUGAGUGAUGAAGGUCUUCGGAUCGUAAAACUCUGUUAUUAGGGAAGAACAAAUGUGUAAGUAACUAUGCCCGUCUUGACGGUACCUAAUCAAAAAGCCACGGCUAACUACGUG